UGCUAUAAGAUCGAGUGUAUUCUUUACAC
rnacentral:sRNA from 1 species